rfam:Stegodyphus mimosarum contig99662, whole genome shotgun sequence.
CUGUUUUUCAUGAAAGGCUAUGUUGAAACCAUUAUGGCAGUGUAGUUUGGAUGUUCUUAACAC